UCUUGUUUCUUGAGAUACAUAUAUAAUCUUAUGGAUAUUUUCUUUAGAUUUGUAUGUAUUUAUUAGGAUCACUUGCUGACUAUUUUACUCUUUCAUCUCCAUCAACUGAUGGCACACGUGAUGCUUACAUAUGUAUGCAGUGGGACUGGCUUUAUUGUCUACUGCUAUUGUCUUUUUUCAUGCUUACAAUUUUCAUGCAUCAUAUUUAUUUGGGAUGCUUACAAGAAUUACAAUGAUGUCUGCUUUAUACCAAAAGGUACAUGUACUCUCUCUCUCAGUCAAUCUACA